UACAGAGACUGCAAGCGUUAUUCGGAUUCACUGGGCGUAAAGGGUGCGCAGGCGGUUGUGUGUGUCAGGUGUGAAAGCCCGGGGCUUAACCCCGGAAUUGCGCCUGAAACUACAUGACUAGAGCAUUGGAGAGGGUAGCGGAAUUCACGGUGUAGCAGUGAAAUGCGUAGAUAUCGUGAGGAACACCAGAGGCGAAGGCGGCUACCUAGACAAUUGCUGACGCUCAGGCACGAAAGCGUGGGGAGCAAAAGGG
rnacentral:rRNA from 1 species